UACAGAGGGUGCGAGCGUUAAUCGGAAUUACUGGGCGUAAAGCGCGCGUAGGCGGCUUUGCAAGUCGGGUGUGAAAUCCCCAAGCUUAACUUGGGAACUGCAUCCGAUACUGGAUGGCUUGAAUCCGGGAGAGGGAUGCAGAAUUCCAGGUGUAGCGGUGAAAUGCGUAGAUAUCUGGAGGAAUACCGGUGGCGAAGGCGGCAUCCUGGACCGGCAUUGACGCUGAGGAGCGAAAGCUAGGGGAGCAAACGGG
rnacentral:rRNA from 1 species